rnacentral:rRNA from 1 species
GACGAACGCUGGCGGCGUGCCUAUUACAUGCAAGUCGAACGCAUUUUCUUUCACCGUAGCUUGCUACACCGAAAGAAAAUGAGUGGCGAACGGGUGAGUAACACGUGGGUAACCUGCCCAUCAGCGGGGGAUAACACUUGGAAACAGGUGCUAAUACCGCAUAAUUCCAUUUACCGCAUGGUAAAUGGAUGAAAGGCGCUUUUGCGUCACUGAUGGAUGGACCCGCGGUGCAUUAGCUAGUUGGUGGGGUAACGGCCUACCAAGGCUGCGAUGCAUAGCCGACCUGAGAGGGUGGUCGGCCACACUGGGACUGAGACACGGCCCAGACUCCUACGGGAGGCAGCAGUAGGGAAUCUUCGGCAAUGGACGCAAGUCUGACCGAGCAACGCCGCGUGAGUGAAGAAGGGUUUCGGAUCGUAAAACUCUGUUGUUAGAGAAGAACAAGGAUGAGAGUGGAAAGUUCAUCCCUUGACGGUAUCUAACCAGAAAGCCACGGCUAACUACGUG